GGGGUGCACCAGGCGCGAAAACUUUACAAUGCCGACAACGGCGAUAAGGGAACCUCGAGUGCCAGGUUACAAAUCUGGCUGUCGUGAUGCCUAAAAAGCAUUGCAUAGCAAGGGCCGGGCAAGACCGGUGCCAGCCGCCGCGGUAACACCGGCGGCUCGAGUGGUAACCGUUAUUAUUGGGUCUAAAGGGUCUGUAGCCGGCCGGAUAAGUCUCUUGGGAAAUCUGGCAGCUUAACUGUCAGGCUUUCAGGAGAUACUGUCUGGCUCGAGGCCGGGAGAGGUGAGAGGUACUUCAGGGGUAGGGGUGAAAUCUUGUAAUCCUUGAAGGACCACCAGUGGCGAAGGCGUCUCACCAGAACGGACCUGACGGCAAGGGACGAAAGCUAGGGGCACGAACCGGAUUAGAUACCCGGGUAGUCCUAGCCGUAAACGAUACUCGCUAGGUGUCGGCCACGGUGCGACCGUGGUCGGUGCCGUAGGGAAGCCGUGAAGCGAGCCACCUGGGAAGUACGGCCGCAAGGCUGAAACUUAAAGGAAUUGGCGGGGGAGCACAAGGGCGAAUUCGCG
rnacentral:rRNA from 1 species